GUCACGUGUUUAGCGUUUAUCUGGGCUACAGAAAAAAAAAAAAAAACAGUUCGUUUGAAAACACUUACAGUUGUUCCGAAGGUUUCUUAACAGUCUCUCAAGAGUCUUUCACACACCUGGGUGAGAAAAUAUCCUAUCCUCAAACCUACCUGCCUGCUACCUGCACGGGAAACGCAGCCGUGGCCUGGAUGAACACUCCCAACCAGAAGCUGAGGUUCUCUGUGGACACCUCUGUGGACUCCUUUGCAGCCUCCCUCUUCUGAGACACUCAUCUGAUUCGAAUUCCCAGCGGAAUAGAGGUGAAAGCUGCCGACGCGCCGUGUCUCAUCACAUUGGAUGUUUUUAAUCAGCUGGCGGAACAAAUCUCACAUCAAGAUGUACUAGUGUGUUUUAGGCAGCAGGAGCAGGAAUUUGCUUCUAAACAGAGACGGAGAAUCACAUCUUUGUCGAAACAUGAACUACAUGCUAAUAAACUUUAUUAUGUAUAUUCCACGGGCGUUCUUAUUCCCAGUUACGCAUGGAGCGCACGCCGUUUUUCCACUUUGAAAAGAGUUUGGUUUGACGCAUAAAUGACUCCGCAGUGUCUGGAUUUAGAAUAUUAAUUUAAGAAUAAAAACGUGAGGAGAAUGUAAGCAGCCACGGUGCAAACUGAAAGCCUGUUUGGAGGAGAUUUCUCUACAAAAAAAAGACUAUCAAUUAAACGCAACUGUGCAUGCAGCCACAGCUUAAAGACACAUAUGUUGUCUUUCAUGAAACUUUAAUAAGCUCUUACCUUAGAAGAAUGGAAGAAGGAGGGGAGAGGGAAGAGCUCUGCAGUCCUGAGCGGCGUGUCAGCCAAAUGAACAAUUUCCCAGUGAAGCCUCCUCUCCUCAGGUCACCCACUGUUCACAUGGCGAUUGUGUGGAUGUGUAUUGAGGCUACAGACUUGUGUAUUCGCUUAGGCUUAUCCCCCUGUCAGCUGAUUAUUGCCCCGCGUUACCAACUCCAUCAAAAGGUGACACUUGUCCUCC